rnacentral:rRNA from 1 species
UACGUAGGGGGCUAGCGUUGUCCGGAAUCAUUGGGCGUAAAGCGCGUGUAGGCGGUCCGGUAAGUCCGCUGUGAAAGUCGGGGGCUCAACCCUCGGAUGCCGGUGGAUACUGUCGGGCUUGAGUACGGAAGAGGCGAGUGGAAUUCCUGGUGGAGCGGUGAAAUGCGCAGAUAUCAGGAGGAACACCCGUAGCGAAGGCGGCACUCUGGGCCGAUACUGACACUGAGGAGCGAAAGCGUGGGGAGCGAACAGG